rnacentral:snRNA from 1 species
AUCGCUUUUCGGCCUUUUGGCUAAGAUCAAGUGUAGUAUCUGUUCUUAUCAGGUUAAAGAUAAUGAGGAAGGGCUUGUCACAGGAGAGUGACAAGGAAAUCAAC